AUUGAACGCUGGCGGCAGGCUUAACACAUGCAAGUCGAGCGGAGAUGAGGUGCUUGCACCUUAUCUUAGCGGCGGACGGGUGAGUAAUGCUUAGGAAUCUGCCUAUAGUGGGGGACAACAUUCCGAAAGGAAUGCUAAUACCGCAUACGCCCUACGGGGGAAAGCAGGGGAUCUUCGGACCUUGCGCUAAUAGAUGAGCCUAAGUCGGAUUAGCUAGUGGGUGGGGUAAAGGCCUACCAAGGCGACGAUCUGUAGCGGGUCUGAGAGGAUGAUCCGCCACACUGGGACUGAGACACGGCCCAGACUCCUACGGGAGGCAGCAGUGGGGAAUAUUGGACAAUGGGCGGAAGCCUGAUCCAGCCAUGCCGCGUGUGUGAAGAAGGCCUUUUGGUUGUAAAGCACUUUAAGCGAGGAGGAGGCUACCUGGAUUAAUACUCUAGGAUAGUGGACGUUACUCGCAGAAUAAGCACCGGCUAACUCUGUGCCAGCCGCCGCCGUAAUAC
rnacentral:rRNA from 1 species